UGGGGACACCGGAGGCCUGCCUGCCCCAAACCCGCGCCCCACGGCUGCGCCUGUCCACCGGACACAACGCAACCCGCACAGACCGCCUGCCGCCGGGCGCCCGGAGCCUGCCACCAGUUGGGCGCUCGGGCCCCACGCAAGGCACACGCCACAGCCCCGCCGCCAGCACCGGAAGGCCCGCCGGGCCCCAUGGGACCCUCUCCUUUGCGUGCCACACCCAUGCACACCCAGGCCUCCCUACAUCCAGCACCAGCAUCUCCACGGGAGACGCACCAGACCCUGGGCCCAGCGGGACCCUCGCACCGAAACUCACGCCCCUUCCGCCGCCGCCUGCCCCCUUUCCUCCACAGCAGACUCCCUCCUUGCCACCAGCUCCCGCCCGGCACCAGCUCGGCUGGGCUCCAGUCCGCAGGCGUGGCUAGCUCUGCUGGGUAUCAACCUCACACUGCCUCCCACUGCGCAACUCCCUGUCCUCCCUCCCCGGGAACACGGCCUCAGCCAGGCAGGGGCGCCGCACGGCCUCAUUGCCCAGCCCCGUGUGUGGACACCUUAGCGGCCCCGGGAGCUGGCCGCGGGCUCACACUUCUAUGCCCCGCCGGCACCCAUGACCGGCCAGGGCACAGGCACCCAGCUCCCAUUCACGUGCCCGGGACCCCUCCGUCCUGCCUUCCACGCGCCGCCCAAAUCUCUGAGGAUAUCCCACAUCAUAGCCCAGGCCGCCCUGAAGGCACUGCCGCCCCGGGCACCCAACACUCCCCCUCACGGUGCUGCGCACACUGGCCCAGGACCUCUGGCCCUCCUGCACUUCUCUCGACCCCAGUCCGCGGCCGACUCGGCACCGCCCAGGCCACCUGGCGCCCCACCGCCUCCACGUCUCUGGGAAAUGCCGCAGGGGCUCCAGGGUUCUCGAUGACCCCCCAAGGACUCUGCGAGGGAAGGCACUGGCAGCCCCGCCGACCCCGUGAAGCCCAGGCCAAGGCGUCCGACCCCGCCCAAACGGCCAUCUCGGCAAGGCCCCCCGGCCGGCCUCCUCUCUCCCCACCAGAACCUGGGUCGGCAGUCCCGCCGAGGCCAAGGCCCCCGCUGCUCACCCGCAACCUACAGACAGCCUCUGCGCCCGACACCGCGGGCAGGACCCCGCAGAGGCCUCACGGAGGCAGCCGCAGGCCUGAGAGCCCAGCGGAGCUCACGCACACCGCAGGCAGCCCACCCCACACUGGGCCUGCCACUCCCAAGGCUUUCCCGCCGGGCACCGGGGCCCCGGGGUGCCGGACCUCAGUUUGCGAUGAGGAGACGGUAGUGAGUUCUCACUCAUUUUGUUCAGAUUUUCCAAGGAAUGCGU
rnacentral:lncRNA from 1 species